GUGCCAGCAGCCGCGGUAAUACGUAGGGGGCUAGCGUUGUCCGGAUUUAUUGGGCGUAAAGAGCGUGUAGGCGGCUUGAAAGGUCCGCUGUGAAAACUCGGGGCUCAACCCCGAGAGGUCGGUGGAAACCAUCUGGCUAGAGUCCGGAAGAGGAGAGUGGAAUUCCCGGUGUAGCGGUGAAAUGCGCAGAUAUCGGGAAGAAUAUCCGUGGCGAAGGCGGCUCUCUGGGACGGUACUGACGCUGAGACGCGAAAGCGUGGGGAGCGAACAGGAUUAGAUACCCUGGUAGUCCACGCCGUAAACGAUGGGUGCUAGGUGUGGGUGGUGUCGACUCCAUCCGUGCCGAAGCUAACGCAUUAAGCACCCCGCCUGGGGAGUACGGCCGCAAGGCUAAA
rnacentral:rRNA from 1 species